AGGAACAUCACAUCUCACUAUACCCCAAACUCAUUUCCAAUAUUAAUUCAAGCGUUUUUGAUCCCUCGAGUAUUUAUGGAACAUACUUGAACCCCACAUCAUAUCAUUAUAUUCACAAUUGUGUUUUAUAGCCUAAAUGGUUAAACACAAUUGUCCGGUUGGUGAACACAAAUAUAAAUGUUGGUCAAAAUAGUUUUCAUUUUCCU
rnacentral:lncRNA from 1 species